GAUGAACGCUAGCGGCAGGCCUAACACAUGCCAGUCGAGGGAGAAGCCCUUUCGGGGGCAGAAACCGGCGCACGGGUGCGUAACGCGUAUGCAACCUACCUUUCACAGGGGGAUAGCCCGAAGAAAUUUGGAUUAAUACCCCAUAAUAUUAUUGGAUGGCAUCAUUUGAUAAUUAAAACUGCGGUGGUGAAAGAUGGGCAUGCGUCCUAUUAGCUAGUUGGAGUGGUAACGGCACCCCAAGGCUACGAUAGGUAGGGGUCCUGAGAGGGAGAUCCCCCACACUGGUACUGAGACAGGGACCAGACUCCUACGGGAGGCAGCAGUGAGGAAGAUUGGUCAAUGGUCGGAAGACUGAACCAGCCAUGCCGCGUGCAGGAAGAAUGCCUUAUGGGUUGUAAACUGCUUUUAUAUGGGAAGAAUAAGGCGUACGUGUACGUUGAUGACGGUACCAUAUGAAUAAGCAUCGGCUAACUCCGUG
rnacentral:rRNA from 1 species